rnacentral:rRNA from 1 species
UACAGAGGGUGCAAACGUUGCUCGGAUUUACUGGGCGUAAAGCGCAUGUAGGCGGACUAGCAAGUCGGGUGUGAAAUCCCUGGGCUUAACCCAGGAACUGCAUUCGAAACUGCCUGUCUUGAGUUAUGGAGAGGGUGGCGGAAUUCCCGGUGUAGAGGUGAAAUUCGUAGAUAUCGGGAGGAACACCAGUGGCGAAGGCGGCCACCUGGACAUUUACUGACGCUGAGAUGCGAAAGCGUGGGGAGCAAACAGG